rnacentral:rRNA from 1 species
AGUAACACGUGGGCAACCUGCCCUGAAGCGGGGGAUAACAUCUGGAAACAGGUGCUAAUACCGCAUAACAACGAAAACCACAUGGUUUUCGUUUCAAAGAUGGUUUUGGCUAUCACUUCAGGAUGGGCCCGCGGUGCAUUAGCUAGUUGGUAAGGUAACGGCUUACCAAGGCGAUGAUGCAUAGCCGAGUUGAGAGACUGAUCGGCCACAAUGGAACUGAGACACGGUCCAUACUCCUACGGGAGGCAGCAGAG